rnacentral:rRNA from 1 species
GGUAAGUCGUACAGUUCCGUAGUGAACCUGCGGAGGAUCAUUA